GACGAACGCUGGCGGCGUGCUUAACACAUGCCAGUCGAACGGAAAGGCCCUGCUUUUGUGGGGUGCUCGAGUGGCGAACGGGUGAGUAACACGUGAGUAACCUGCCCUUGACUUUGGGAUAACUUCAGGAAACUGGGGCUAAUACCGGAUAGGAGCUCCUGCUGCAUGGUGGGGGUUGGAAAGUUUCGGCGGUUGGGGAUGGACUCGCGGCUUAUCAGCUUGUUGGUGGGGUAGUGGCUUACCAAGGCUUUGACGGGUAGCCGGCCUGAGAGGGUGACCGGCCACAUGGGGACUGAGAUACGGCCCAGACUCCUACGGGAGGCAGCAGGGGGGAAUAUUGCACAAUGGGCGGAAGCCUGAUGCAGCAACGCCGCGUGCGGGAUGACGGCCUUCGGGUUGUAAACCGCUUUCGCCUGUGACGAAGCGUGAGUGACGGUAAUGGGUAAAGAAGCACCGGCUAACUACGUG
rnacentral:rRNA from 1 species